GUUUCUUUCAGGACAUGGGUUAAUUCUUCCGCACAUCCUUCUUGGAUGAGUAUCCUUAUAAAAAUAUUCUAGAGGAAUCACUCAGGUCAAUGGCCUUUCUGAAAAUUCUCUGAAGGGUAAACCUCUGGACUGGGAAGGGAUUUAAAUUUUCUCUUAACUUUUCUUUUCUGCUCUGCAUUUAGAAGAAAAAGCAUGCCUGUCUUUUGUAGUCGAAAGAUAACUGUCUGUAAUGACAAUGUGGGAGACUUCGGGGCUGUUCUCUUUUUUUGUGCUCUCUGAAGAGAAAAUGAUUACAGUCUGACUUACCACUGAUUAACUAAAACCAUCCAACUAUAGAGAGAGGAGGAAGUGCAGCCCGGAAACCAUAGCAACCUCUGCAAAAUGGUUCCUGUAAUGACACUCGCUCAAAAUGGCCAGGCUUCCAGGUUGCUAAGACUUGCUCAUAUGCUAAUGUGUUGGAAAAUGUCUGGAAUCUCGGGAAUAUGGCGAUCUCUUUCUGGUGCAGCAGUCGCCACAGGCAGUUUCUACAGAACAAAACCUACAGCAGGCACAGUGCCCUGACCAGAGAAAAUAAAAACAAACCGGGAGUCAGCAGAACACAGGACUUUUUCCAAGGGCUUGACUUGUAGUGUCAUGGUAAAUGUCUCAUUCAACACCAUCAUCAGUUUUACUGCUUUUAACAAAAUUGGUAAAAUCUCCAGGAUAUUCCUCCAAGGUGGAUUUGUAAAUUGUGAAGGCUUUUUCCGAAAAUCAAAUAUAUCACGAGGCAAGAACUGAUGUAGCCAGGUCUGUGACUAAUCAUUUCUCUCGGGGUAGUCAGUAUUUCCGGGGAUUGGGUGGAGAAAGUAAUCCGUUAAUAUUCCUUGAUUGGUAGAUUAUGAGUCAAAGUUAUAAUAGACAUGAUUUUGCUUAUAUAACUACAGUUUGUACAAUCUGUACUAUUAAAGGAGAAAAGUCUUGGAAAAAAUAAAAAAUACCACCACUG
rnacentral:lncRNA from 1 species